rnacentral:rRNA from 1 species
UACAGAGGUCCCAAGCGUUGUUCGGAUUCAUUGGGCGUAAAGGGUGCGUAGGCGGCGCGGUAAGUCGGGUGUGGAAUCUCGGGGCUUAACUCCGGAAACUGCCAUUCGAUACUGCCGUGCUUGAGGACUGGAGAGGAGACUGGAAUUUACGGUGUAGCGGUGAAAUGCGUAGAUAUCGUAAGGAAGACCAGUGGCGAAGGCGGGUCUCUGGACAGUUCCUGACGCUGAGGCACGAAGGCCAGGGGAGCAAACGGG